GCAUGUAAGGGGGACCUGUUUGUCAUCACUCACUCUUGGUCACCACAGUAAUUCAGCUUAGCUGUCUGGGUAGGCUUCCCUUUCUUCAUGGCUGCAUAUGCCACUUCCCCAAACGGGAAGAGAAUGGCCUUCCCCAAUAGAAGAGAGUCUUUUUUCCAGGGCGUAAAUAUAUGUGUGUGUGUCUGUGUGUGUGUGUGUGCAGCUGCAUUCUCCUGCUGGAAAAUCUUGUCAGGCUUUCAGAAGGGAGAUCACAGGGCAGUCAGCUUCUAACACUGUGGGCCCAUCCAAAUGAGAUGCUUCAUGUGGUGGUGGUCAGCCCUUGUUU
rnacentral:snRNA from 1 species